UGCAAGUCGAACGGUGAAAGAGGAGCUUGCUCCUCUGGAUCAGUGGCGAACGGGUGAGUAACACGUGAGUAACCUGCCCUUGACUCUGGGAUAAGCACUGGAAACGGUGUCUAAUACCGGAUACGAGCUUCAGCCGCAUGGCUAGGAGCUGGAAAGAAUUUCGGUCAAGGAUGGACUCGCGGCCUAUCAGCUAGUUGGUGAGGUAAUGGCUCACCAAGGCGACGACGGGUAGCCGGCCUGAGAGGGUGACCGGCCACACUGGGACUGAGACACGGCCCAGACUCCUACGGGAGGCAGCAGUGGGGAAUAUUGCACAAUGGGCGCAAGCCUGAUGCAGCAACGCCGCGUGAGGGACGACGGCCUUCGGGUUGUAAACCUCUUUUAGUAGGGAAGAAGCGAAAGUGACGGUACCUGCAGAAAAAGCACCGGCUAACUACGUGCCAGCAGCCGCGGUAAUACGUAGGGUGCAAGCGUUAUCCGGAAUUAUUGGGCGUAAAGAGCUCGUAGGCGGUUUGUCGCGUCUGCUGUGAAAACUGGAGGCUCAACCUCCAGCCUGCAGUGGGUACGGGCAGACUAGAGUGCGGUAGGGGAGAUUGGAAUUCCUGGUGUAGCGGUGGAAUGCGCAGAUAUCAGGAGGAACACCGAUGGCGAAGGCAGAUCUCUGGGCCGUAACUGACGCUGAGGAGCGAAAGCAUGGGGAGCGAACAGGAUUAGAUACCCUGGUAGUCCAUGCCGUAAACGUUGGGAACUAGAUGUAGGGGCCAUUCCACGGCUUCUGUGUCGCAGCUAACGCAUUAAGUUCCCCGCCUGGGGAGUACGGCCGCAAGGCUAAAACUCAAAGGAAUUGACGGGGGCCCGCACAAGCGGCGGAGCAUGCGGAUUAAUUCGAUGCAACGCGAAGAACCUUACCAAGGCUUGACAUAUACCCGGAAAAGUUCAGAAAUGUUCUCCCCGCAAGGCCGGUAUACAGGUGGUGCAUGGUUGUCGUCAGCUCGUGUCGUGAGAUGUUUGGGUUAAGUCCCGCAACGAGCGCAACCCUCGUUCUAUGUUGCCAGCACGUAAUGGUGGGAACUCAUAGGA
rnacentral:rRNA from 1 species